UAGAGGAAGUAAAAGUCGUAACAAGGUUUCCGUAGGUGAACCUGCGGAAGGAUCAUUAAAGAGAGGAGCUCCGCGCUCCAGGGGGUUCGCCUCCGCCUCUCCACCCUGUGAAAACAUACCUUUGUUGCUUUGGCGGGCCUUGGGGUCAUGCCCAUGCCGGGCUUUUGCCUGGCGAGCGCCCGCCGAAAGCCCACCAAAACUCGUUUAAUUUAUGCAGUCAGAGUCUAAACACAAAUAAAGCAAAACUUUCAACAACGGAUCUCUUGGUUCUGGCAUCGAUGAAGAACGCAGCGAAAUGCGAUAAGUAAUGUGAAUUGCAGAAUUCAGUGAAUCAUCGAAUCUUUGAACGCACAUUGCGCCCCUUGGUAUUCCGGGGGGCAUACCUGUUCGAGCGUCAUUACACCUCUCAAGCGUAGCUUGGUAUUGGGCCUCGCUCCCUCAAAAGGGCGUGCCUGAAAAGUAGUGGCGGUCCGGCGUGGCCUUGAACGUAGUAAAUUUUCUCCCGUUCUGAAGGUCCGCGUCGCGGCUGGCCAGAAUCGCCCACAUUUUCAAGAAUUGACCUCGGAUCAGGUAGGGAUACCCGCUGAACUUAAGCAUAUCAAUAAGCGGAGGAAAAGAAACCAACAGGGAUUGCCUCAGUAACGGCGAGUGAAGCGGCAUCAGCUCAAAUUUGAAAUCUGGCUCCCGAUCGGGGUCCA
rnacentral:rRNA from 1 species